rnacentral:lncRNA from 1 species
GAUGCAGGCCCGAAGAGGCGGAGGGGAGAGGACGCGGGAAGCCAGUGUGCCCCGGACGCAGUGUCCUAGCGCUCAUCGGGUCAUCCUCUGCAGCCCAGAUUGUCCCUGUCCAAGACUGCGGAAUGAAGAAUCCAGCUUUGAGAACCUGUGUGUAAGUCCUCUCUGGUCAGCAAAGGAAUCUGUGCAGAGCGCCAUGAAUUAGAGGAUGGGGGAAUGAGUGCUUGAAGAUGCCCGAGGUAUGGUCCUUAUCCGUGUGACAUUUGGAGGUCCAGGUGAGAAAUCAGGGUUGAAAACUGCAUGGAGGAUUCAUCAUUUCUGCCCUGAAUUGGAAUCAAUUCCUUAUUGACUUAUUAUUACUGUAUUAAAAGUGUUUUUAAUUAACCAUGGUA